rnacentral:lncRNA from 1 species
UCUUUUUAUCUUCAAAGAUGAGAUCACUGGGCCUGCAAAUGAGAGUGGUGUUGGGCAGGGUGGUCAACAUUUCUGGAUGCUGACUUCAGAUUUUCAGGACUCUUGGGCCUUUGCCAUCAGAUGCUGAGUUUCUACAAGGCCAUCUUAAGAACUGAAACAUACCAGAAAGAGUGGAGGAGAAAACCUAAUAGCAAUAGGAAGAAGUACUGAAACACCAUAGCAGAAAAGUUUUCAUGACAGAACAGAUAGCUUUCAAGAUUUAAUACUUCAUCUCCAUGGAUGUAGACCAGUUCAACACAACUGAUCUUGAUUGAGCUUACUGGCAACAGCGUCCACAUUCUGACUCCGCGAAAUCCCUCAUUCCCUGUUCAAACCUG